rnacentral:rRNA from 1 species
UAGGGAAUAUUGCGCAAUGGGGGAAACCCUGACGCAGCAACGCCGCGUGAGUGAGGAAGGUCUUCGGAUUGUAAAACUCUUUUAUUUGGGAAAAAUGACUAUAUGGCUAAUAUCCAUAUGGAGUGAUGGUACCAAAGGAAUAAGCACCGGCUAACUACGUGCCAGCAGCCGCGGUAAUACGUAGGGAGCAAGCGUUGUUCGGAUUUACUGGGCGUAAAGGGCGCGUAGGCGGCGUGUUAAGUCAGCUGUGAAAUCUCCAAGCUUAACUUGGAACGGCCAGCUGAUACUGAUGUGCUAGAGUGCAGAAAGGGCAAUCGGAAUUCUUGGUGUAGCGGUGAAAUGCGUAGAUAUCAAGAGGAACACCUGAGGCGAAGGCGGGUUGCUAGGCUGACACUGACGCUGAGGCGCGAAAGCCAGGGGAGCAA